AUUUCACCAAUUCAUGUAGUGAAUUCUCCCGCGAUGUUUUCGGCUGAAGAGGACCCUAGUUGGUCCUAAAAAGCCUGAGGUAGAGGAGUUUUAGUCGGUAGGUCCGAGGACUUCUCCCUCGGGAAUCCGACACUACCCAGUCGUACGGACGGCUGGGUGUCUUCUGAAGAUUUCCCCUCUUCCACGAAA
rfam:Agrilus planipennis Contig1644, whole genome shotgun sequence.